rnacentral:rRNA from 1 species
GACGUAGGGCGCGAGCGUUGUCCGGAUUUAUUGGGCGUAAAGAGCUCGUAGGCGGCUUGUCGCGUCGGCCGUGAAAACUUGGGGCUCAACCCCGAGCUUGCGGUCGAUACGGGCAGGCUGGAGUUCGGUAGGGGAGACUGGAAUUCCUGGUGUAGCGGUGAAAUGCGCAGAUAUCAGGAGGAACACCGGUGGCGAAGGCGGGUCUCUGGGCCGAUACUGACGCUGAGGAGCGAAAGCGUGGGGAGCGAACAGG